rnacentral:tRNA from 1 species
GUUGGAUUAAAAUUUAAGUUUGGUGUAGAAGUUAAACUAUUUGGUCUGUUCGACC